UCCUGCAAGUCCUUCAAACAGAUUUCUAGAUGAAGCUCUCCUGCACCAGCAACAAUGUGUUCUCCAGACUCCUCAAUGGUACAAACAAACAUAGGAUUAGGCUUAGCAAGACGCUUGAGACUUUCAACAGGCUUAGGAAGACUUCUUCGCAACAGUGAUUGAUGAACUUGUUACAGCUAGCCUGUUUGCCGAGCUCUCCUGGGAUUAAAUAAUUGGAAUCAUGCUGUAAAUUCCAAGAAAUUCCAAGAAUGUUCAAAAUGGGCAAGUUGCUUAAUUGCCUAAGUACAACAAUUCAUUUUAUAUUUUUCUAUUUUGGUUGACGAAAAGUUGUUGCAUAUCCUGCAGAGUAGAAUCUUCCAAGGAGACUUUUAGCAGAGAUGACAAUUGGGAAGAAGGAUGAAGUUCAACCAAAAAGUUUAGGAAAACCACCACCAUUAGAUGAAGCACGCAACCAUAACAGACAGGAUUUUACUCAAGGAUUGAAUGCUUGAAAGUGGACCAUGGAUUUGCUCAACCAAAUUAUUCAUCCUGACAUUAUUUUUCCAUGUUGAUUGCUGAAGAAACAUUGCUUUCUGAUCCAUAACAUAUGCCAUAGCCAGAGAUUGUGAAAUACCAACGGCAUUUGAUCUUUGAUCGGAAGUGAAUUUGCGCAUACAAACGGGCUUGUCCUUGACCCGAGGGGUCUGAGUUUGUUAAAAGAUGGAGCUCUUACUUGUAUUGUGUUAAAAAAUGCAGCUGGAAUUUAGAAAUGAUUGUAAUCCCUUUUUUUUGGACUUCUAUGAGUUUUCUGCUACAAAUUGUUGUCGGUGCCAUGUUCUUUAUUGUUUGUUGCAGGUUGGGGACGGGAUUGCAAGCAUGUUGAUGAGGGAGUAACGGCAGCAGGUGCAGGUGGUGGUUCAGGGUAAUUUGGUGAGAGCUGGUUAGGAGGUGCCUCUCUUUGCAAUGUCCCGACGGUUUUCUUCAGUUUGGUUUCGCAGGUUCUGCCGUUGAUGCGUUUCCGUUGCCGUUGGAGUUGGCUGAUGUUGUACUCAAAUUCAAUAUGCAGACAACCUUCUAUUCCAACUUCCAUCUUGAUGCUGUUAUUAAUCUGUGGAAGCGGAGAACAGUUGCGAACCACAAAAUCCUGGUACUCAACUAUGCUU